GGCGGCCGCGGGAAUUCGAUUAGAGUUUGAUCAUGGCUCAGAUUGAACGCUGGCGGCAUGCCUACACAUGCAAGUCGAACGGUAACGCGGGGCAACCCUGGCGACGAGUGGCGGACGGGUGAGUAAUACGUAGGAAUCUACCCUGUAGUGGGGGAUAACCCGGCGAAAGCCGGGCUAAUACCGCAUACGCUCUACGGAGGAAAGCGGGGGAUCGCAAGACCUCGCGCUAAAGGAUGAGCCUACGUCGGAUUAGCUAGUUGGUAGGGUAACGGCCUACCAAGGCGACGAUCCGUAGCUGGUCUGAGAGGACGAUCAGCCACACUGGGACUGAGACACGGCCCAGACUCCUACGGGAGGCAGCAGUGGGGAAUUUUGGACAAUGGGGGCAACCCUGAUCCAGCCAUGCCGCGUGAGUGAAGAAGGCCUUCGGGUUGUAAAGCUCUUUCGGACGGAACGAAAUGGUUACGGUGAAUAUCCGUGACUGAUGACGGUACCGUAAUAAGAAGCACCGGCUAACUACGUGCCAGCAGCCGCGGUAUACAAUCACUAGUGAAUUCGCGGCGCCUGCAGGUCGACCAUAUGGGAGAGCUCCC
rnacentral:rRNA from 1 species